ACGAACGCUGGCGGCGUGCUUAACACAUGCAAGUCGCACGGAAAGACCCUGCUUUUGUGGGGUGCUCGAGUGGCGAACGGGUGAGUAACACGUGAGUAACCUGCCCUUGACUUUGGGAUAACUUCAGGAAACUGGGGCUAAUACCGGAUAGGAGCUCCUGCUGCAUGGUGGGGGUUGGAAAGUUUCGGCGGUUGGGGAUGGACUCGCGGCUUAUCAGCUUGUUGGUGGGGUAGUGGCUUACCAAGGCUUUGACGGGUAGCCGGCCUGAGAGGGUGACCGGCCACAUUGGGACUGAGAUACGGCCCCGACUCCUACGGGAGGCAGCAGUGGGGAAUAUUGCACAAUGGGCGGAAGCCUGAUGCAGCAACGCCGCGUGCGGGAUGACGGCCUUCGGGUUGUAAACCGCUUUCGCCUGUGACGAAGCGUGAGUGACGGUAAUGGGUAAAGAAGCACCGGCUAACUACGUG
rnacentral:rRNA from 1 species